rnacentral:rRNA from 1 species
GACGAACGCUGGCGGCGUGCUUAACACAUGCAAGUCGAACGGAAAGGCCCUGCUUUUGUGGGGUGCUCGAGUGGCGAACGGGUGAGUAACACGUGAGUAACCUGCCCUUGACUUUGGGAUAACUUCAGGAAACUGGGGCUAAUACCGGAUAGGAGCUCCUGCUGCAUGGUGGGGGUUGGAAAGUUUCGGCGGUUGGGGAUGGACUCGCGGCUUAUCAGCUUGUUGGUGGGGUAGUGGCUUACCAAGGCUUUGACGGGUAGCCGGCCUGAGAGGGUGACCGGCCACAUUGGGACUGAGAUACGGCCCAGACUCCUACGGGAGGCAGCAGUGGGGAAUAUUGCACAAUGGGCGGAAGCCUGAUGCAGCAACGCCGCGUGCGGGAUGACGGCCUUCGGGUUGUAAACCGCUUUCGCCUGUGACGAAGCGUGAGUGACGGUAAUGGGUAAAGAAGCACCGGCUAACUACGUGCCAGCAGCCGCGGUGAUACGUAGGGUGCGAGCGUUGUCCGGAUUUAUUGGGCGUAAAGGGCUCGUAGGUGGUUGAUCGCGUCGGAAGUGUAAUCUUGGGGCUUAACCCUGAGCGUGCUUUCGAUACGGGUUGACUUGAGGAAGGUAGGGGAGAAUGGAAUUCCUGGUGGAGCGGUGGAAUGCGCAGAUAUCAGGAGGAACACCAGUGGCGAAGGCGGUUCUCUGGGCCUUUCCUGACGCUGAGGAGCGAAAGCGUGGGGAGCGAACAGGCUUAGAUACCCUGGUAGUCCACGCUGUAAACGGUGGGUACUAGGUGUGGGGUCCAUUCCACGGGUUCCGUGCCGUAGCUAACGCUUUAAGUACCCCGCCUGGGGAGUACGGCCGCAAGGCUAAAACUCAAAGGAAUUGACGGGGCCCCGCACAAGCGGCGGAGCAUGCGGAUUAAUUCGAUGCAACGCGUAGAACCUUACCUGGGUUUGACAUGGAUCGGGAGUGCUCAGAGAUGGGUGUGCCUCUUUUGGGGUCGGUUCACAGGUGGUGCAUGCCUGUCGUCAGCUCGUGUCGUGAGAUGUUGGGUUAAGUCCCGCAACGAGCGCAACCCUUGUUCACUGUUGCCAGCACGUUAUGGUGGGGACUCAGUGGAGACCGCCGGGGUCAACUCGGAGGAAGGUGGGGAUGACGUCAAGUCCUCAUGCUCCUUAUGUCCAGGGCUUCACGCAUGCUACAAUGGCUGGUACAGAGAGUGGCGAGCCUGUGAGGGUGAGCGAAUCUCGGAAAGCCGGUCUCAGUUCGGAUUGGGGUCUGCAACUCGACCUCAUGAAGUCGGAGUCGCUAGUAAUCGCAGAUCAGCAACGCUGCGGUGAAUACGUUCCCGGG